GGAGGAUCACCUGCUUUAGGAUCACAGGAAACUUCAGCCACAGUGAACUGGAUGUGGUGGUGGUGGUGGUGGUGGGGUGCUAUUCUAAUUAUAUGUUGGCAAGACAGUUCUGACUAAUGUUGGAAGGCAUUAAUGCAGAGAAGCUGAACUUCAUCCAGCAGAGUUUCCUGGUCAUGUUAGCCUCCCAGAAGAGAACCUACUUUUGUUUCACAUUCUUGCUCUCCAGGAAAGCAGACAGGGAGCAUUUCAGUAUCAGCACUUUUCACCCAUGCAGCGUGUAAGUGCAUCACUUAACAGCGGAGUCCCUGCCCAUGUAACUAAGUGAGAAGAGCAAAGGGCCGGUCUGCUUCUCCCAUUAGAAGGAAGAUGAGUUGGAUCAUACUGGUUACAGGAUGAUUACUACUUGAGCCUGCCAUUGGGGGUUCAUUCAAGCACCUUUCACCACAUGACAGAUAAUAUUCCUCUCCUCUAGUAGAGCAAAAAAAAUGCUACCCUGAGACCUCUACUGGAAGAGACUUGUUUAUUGAAGGAUGCGAAGCUAUUUGGUGAACUGAGGCUUCCAGGUGACAGCCAGACCAAGUACCAGGCUUGGGAGUAAGGCCACAUUAGGUCUUCUGGUCGCUCUUAUCUUCCAGCCGACUCAGUCACAUGAAUGAGCCUGGCAAAAAUCAGUGUAGGAAUUGUUUUAUUAAAGCAGUCCACUGAGUUUUGUGGUAAUCUGUUGUGCAGCAAAGGGUAACUGGGGAAACAGCUUCUCAAGAGAGAUUGUUGAGAUAGUGUAUAGAAAGAUAAAGAACAGGGACGCAUUAUUUUUCUAGACCCUUUUGUAUUUGGGAAGGAUCUGAAUUCCCUGAUAUAGAGUGACGUAAGUAACUUAGUAGUUAAUGGCUGAUAAUGUAAUC